rnacentral:rRNA from 1 species
UACGGAGGAUCCAAGCGUUAUCCGGAAUCAUUGGGUUUAAAGGGUCCGUAGGCGGUUUGGUAAGUCAGUGGUGAAAGCCCAUCGCUCAACGGUGGAACGGCCAUUGAUACUGCCAGACUUGAAUUAUUAGGAAGUAACUAGAAUAUGUAGUGUAGCGGUGAAAUGCUUAGAGAUUACAUGGAAUACCAAUUGCGAAGGCAGGUUACUACUAAUGGAUUGACGCUGAUGGACGAAAAGCGUGGAUAGCGAACAGG